rnacentral:rRNA from 1 species
UACAGAGGUCUCAAGCGUUGUUCGGAAUCACUGGGCGUAAAGCGCACGUAGGCGGAUGUGUCAGUCAGGGGUGAAAUCCCGGAGCUCAACUUCGGAACUGCCUCUGAUACAGCACGUCUUGAGUCCGAUAGAGGUGGGUGGAAUUCCUAGUGUAGAGGUGAAAUUCGUAGAUAUUAGGAAGAACACCGGUGGCGAAGGCGGCCCACUGGAUCGGUACUGACGCUGAGGUGCGAAAGCGUGGGGAGCAAACAGG